AGACUCUGGAGGAAUAACGGGCGCUUAAAACGGAGGUAGACCGGACAAGAGCUAAAAAGCCGGGUCAACAUAAACGAUGGGGGACGCUUGGGGAUCUUGGUGACCCUGUAACCUUUCUGCUGGACAGGUAAACUGCUUUAACAAAGUAAGACAAGUGUCUGUAACAGAAGUGUUUCUUGUCAAACGGACCUGCUGUAGCGUGUUGUAGCGCCAUCGCUAAACUGUCCUCCCUCGGGUCCUGGACUAUGUCACUUUAUCCUCGUUGUAGAAGUCCUGCAAACAUUGUGUUUGCUGGUAGUCUGUUGGCAUCUACAGUAGCACCAAUGCUUUUGACUUUCACCUUGACUGGGCCCCAUUUGUAAUGAUCUGAAGUAUUUAUCUGCAUUAUAUCUGAAUUUAACUGGAACGAUGCGAGCGAGCAGGAGCGUCUGUUUGUGGGCGGGGCUUGCUGGAGCAGAGAGGGAGGGGGGAGAGAGAGAGAGAGAGAGAGAGAGUGUUUCUCUGUGUUGUCUCUUUAACUCUGUGGCUCUAAAACAGUUGAAGUGUGUUUCUGCUCGAUGAGGUUUCUAUGAGGUGAAUAAAUGUUG